rnacentral:lncRNA from 1 species
AGUCAGCCUUUGUAGUUCUGAGCUCAGAGAGGGGGUGACACAUACUGGGCUUCAGGUCAGAAGCCUGGCUUGGGUGGCUUUUGGAGAAAUUUUCCCUCUGCUCCCAAACUCUUAAAAGGUGCUCAUCACACCACUGGCCUCCAAUCACAGCAUAAGCACGUGUUCCAAAGGCCAUCCUCCAGCAGAGAUUUCGGCAGUGGUACCUGUUGGCUGGCUCAUGGGGUCCUUUCCUUUUUCCAUUCCCUGGAAGCCGUCAACUGGACUGAAUACAACAUCUUUGCGUCUUUUUCUUCACCCUCCCCACAUGCUUGCAUCUCCCAGACUCCUAGGGUUAAUCCCCAGGACAACCUUGCUUUGAAAGAAAAAAUGUGGUGAGCCUACUUGAAGAUUUGGAUUCCAAGAGGCCUCUGUCUGUCCUGCCUCAGCCAGAGCCAGACAGCCAGCUCAAGGAGAUGGGCAAUUUACAGAGAAAGCAGCACUGGUCCUAUAGUACCCCUCCUCAGGAAUGUCUCCCCAGUGCAAGGACAAAGACUGAAGAGACUGCUAUAUUGAUGGACUCUCAAGCCAACUAUGAAGUUGAAACAAAGAAAGUGAUCACCUGAAGACACCUCCUCUGCUAAGAAACACCCCCAAAUUGUGCAGCUUCUGCCACUAGAACUCUCAGAACAAGAGACAAUCUUUUCAAGAAACAGAAAAACUCAAUAAUGACAUCUAGAUUUUCAUGAGCCAAGAACUUUCCCUUCCUCAUGUGUAUUCCUCUGUUUGUACUUAAAUUCAUGUGACAUUCA